rnacentral:rRNA from 1 species
GACAGAGGGUGCAAACGUUGUUCGGAAUUACUGGGCGUAAAGCGCGUGUAGGCGGCAGGGCAUGUCGGAUGUGAAAUCCCGUGGCUCAACCACGGAAGUGCACCCGAAACUGCCCAGCUAGAGUCUCGGAGAGGAAGGCGGAAUGCUUGGUGUAGAGGUGAAAUUCGUAGAUAUCAAGCGGAACACCGGUGGCGAAGGCGGCCUUCUGGACGAUGACUGACGCUGAGACGCGAAAGCGUGGGAGCAAACAGG